UUCCGAAUCAAACUCCGAAAACAGACAUGGGGAAAUUGAUCAUGUUCUUGGUAUGUCUGGCUAUCCUCUCCCUGGUUCUGGGACAGCUAAACACGGAUAAAAUGCGUGAUUCAUUCCUUCAACUUGUUGAGGACGGGUGGAUGGAAGGUGAUGGAUCGAAUGAGUAGUCCAACGCUGGGACUUCUGGUCUCACAUCAAACCCAAAGACAACCGGAAACGUCGAGGAAAUGAAAACUUUCCAACGAUGACAUAUCACCCAGGCCAGGAUACCUUAGAAUAUAAUGUGUGUUUUUGUUGAAAUUUUUUGCUUACUCGCGUCAUUUAUUAUUGAUAACGAAUAAAUAUUCACUGUCUAUA
rnacentral:lncRNA from 1 species